rnacentral:rRNA from 1 species
UGCCAGCAGCCGCGGUAAUACGGAGGGUGCAAGCGUUGUCCGGACUUAUUGGGUGUAAAGGGUGCCGCAGGCGGGUUAUUAAGUCUGGGGUGAAAGGCAGCCGCUCAACGGUUGGAAUGCCUUGGAUACUGGUAAUCUGGAGUGUAGGAGAGGUCGACGGAAUUGGCGGUGUAGCCGGUGAAAUGCAUAGAUAUCGCCAAGAACACCGGUGGUGAAGGCGGUCGGCUGGCCUAUAACUGACGCUCAGGCACGAAAGUGUGGGGAUCAAACAGGAUUAGAUACCCUGGUAGUCCAAGGGCCGAAU